ensembl:misc_RNA Metazoa_SRP Metazoan signal recognition particle RNA
GCCGGGCGUGGUGGUGAGCGCCUGUAGUCCCAGCUACUCGGGAGGCUGAGGCUGGAGGAUUGCUUGAGGCCAGCAGUUCUGGGCUGUAGUGCGCUACGCCGAUCGGGUGUCUGCACGAAGUUCGGCAUCAGUAUGGUGGCCUCCCGGGAGCAGGGGGUCACCGGGUUGCCUAAGGAGGGGUGAACUGGCCCAGGUCGGAGACGGAGCAGGUCAAAGCUCCCGUGCUGACCAGUAGUGGGAUCGCGCCUGUGAAUAGACACUGGGCAACAUCUCUUAAAAAAAAAAAAAAAAAGGUCAUUUUGGCU